GAGUCCCUACGGGGCGCAGCAGUGAGGAAUAUUGGUCAAUGGGCGGGAGCCUGAACCAGCCAAGUCGCGUGAGGGAAGACGGUCCUAUGGAUUGUAAACCUCUUUAGGCGGGGAGCAAUGCCGGGCACGCGUGCCCGGAGGGAGAGUACCCGCAGAAUAAGCAUCGGCUAACUCCGUGCCAGCAGCCGCGGUAAUACGGAGGAUGCGAGCGUUAUCCGGAUUUAUUGGGUUUAAAGGGUGCGCAGGCGGGGGAUCAAGUCAGCGGUAAAAUGUCGGGGCUCAACCCCGGCCGGCCGUUGGAACUG
rnacentral:rRNA from 1 species